GCUGGGGGCUUCCAGGAGUGCGCAUGUGCGGACGGCUGGCUGCAGGCGGCCCGGCGGGCUGGAACCCGCCGCUGGGCUGGCGCUUUUGUGUCCGGAGGCUUCGGCCUGGCCGCUGUCGCCUAUAAGCUACGAGGAGGAGAUUUACGACUUGGCCGGGCACAGCAAAGGCCAGACUUUGCGCGAACAGGCGCUACGCGCCAACCGGCCGGCACCUGGCGGGCACCAUCGCACGGUGGCGCAGAAGCUCCUCAAUGGCCAGCUCCAGCUGCAGCAGCGGCCGCGCACUCGCCUCACCUGAGCUUGGGCGAAUGUGCAUUGGGAAAGUUGACAUUAAUCAACUCAUUAUUCCUCAUAGAUUUGUAUUCUGCAGAGUAUCCGGGUCCUUCUCACAGAAUUAAAAAGACUGUACAGCUGGCAGCCUGUUAUCGAUUACAUUGAUAGUAAAUUUGAGGACUACCUAAAUGCAGAAUCAUGCAUGAACAGACAUCAGAUGCCUGAUAACAGGGUGCAGUGUUGUUUAUCCUUCAUUGCUUCUUCAGGACAUCGACCAUUACAUAACUGAAGACUCCCACCUUCAGGCAGGAUUGCGUAGUACAUGUUUGUAACUACUUCACAUUGCCUUUUGUUGAGACUUACACCAUUGGAUAUUGAGUUAAUGAAGCGUUUGCAUGAAAAAGUGAAUAUCAUCCCACUUAUUGCCAAAGCAGACACACUCACACCAGAGGAAUGCCAACAGUUUAAAAAACAGAAAGGCUGAACAUUUUAAAAACAAAGUUUUCUUUUCCCCUUUUUGUAAACACCUGUUCAAAUCCUUUGUCUGUUUGACCAGUAGUACUUGGUAUUGCCCGAAUUUAUUGAUAUGGGUUCUUUUUAUUCUGGGUAUUUAGUUCUCUCUCAUUUUCACUGUAUUUUUUAUAUUUUUUCUUUUGCUGCUUAUAUCCUAUUUUUGUUUUCAGUGGAAAUUACAUAAGCAACCUUAUAUCCCAUAAUACAUCCCUUUCUGCUGUAACUAGCUAGAGCAGAAAUUAUUAUUUGCAGUGAACACCACGAGAGAUACAGGUGUUAAUUUGCAGACUAGUUUCAAUGAUGCUCCAUAUCCAACCUCUUUCUUUCCUGUGUAUAUUUCUCUAAGAGAUAAAAACAAUUUAAAUGAAAAAUAAAUUGUCUCAGACACUAAGUAAAAGUAGUUCAAACCAAAUCCAAUGAACCAUGCAUGUACUAUCUUCAGCUCAUCCAGCUUCUUAAACUUAAAUCAAUAAGGCAGAAAAUUCAGACACUUUUAAAUUCAAAUGUUUUGAUUUUCCUAUUUGAUUAAAAAUUGGCUUCCUAAGCACCAAAUUUCUAGUUCCUUAUGCCCACGAAGGAUAAUUUUUUUCUAAAAUUAGAACCCACAUCUUCUAUUACUUGCCAUGCCUAACAAAGCAAGCAACACAAAGCAAAGAGUCUAGGUUAAAAACAAGCAAAGUUUGUACAAAAAAAUAGUAAGAAAUUGGCCACUUUAUCCAUUCAAAAGAGAAAAACCACAGCUAGAUUUUAAAGAGAAGAAAAUAAAUAAAUAAAUAUAAAUCGAUGUCUUUUAAAAUGUCCUAGGAACAUUUAUUUCCAGUAAAACCUCGGGGUUUUUUUUUAGUCUAAAAUGUUGAAAGCCGUGGGUUUCACACCUUUCUCCCUGUUGUAUGAUAACUAAUGUUUAGAGUCAGAGUUAGGAAGGUAAAAGACCUAUCUUUUUAUCCACAUUCUGAUACCAACUACGUUUGUGAUUUCAGAUCAGUCAUUGAACACUGAGUCUUUACUUCCCAACCUAUAAAAUGAGGACUGUGGUCUAAGUCAUCUCUAAGAUUUCUUCCAGUGCAAACACAGUUUCUUUGUAUGACUUCCAGUGUAAAAUGUAUAUAUUGCCAGAGCCAGAAAAUGCCAUCAGAGUUAUGACCUCCAUUGCAUGCCUCCAUAAGAAAAAGAUAGCCACCCUCAGCACUGAAUGCUUCCAUUUGUAAACAAUAAAAUAUUUCAUUAUUCUGGCUUAUAAA